rnacentral:rRNA from 1 species
GUAGUCCACGCCGUAAACGAUGUCGACUUGGAGGUUGUUCCCUUGAGGAGUGGCUUCCGGAGCUAACGCGUUAAGUCGACCGCCUGGGGAGUACGGCCGCAAGGUUAAAACUCAAAUGAAUUGACGGGGGCCCGCACAAGCGGUGGAGCAUGUGGUUUAAUUCGAUGCAACGCGAAGAACCUUACCUACUCUUGACAUCCAGAGAACUUAGCAGAGAUGCUUUGGUGCCUUCGGGAACUCUGAGACAGGUGCUGCAUGGCUGUCGUCAGCUCGUGUUGUGAAAUGUUGGGUUAAGUCCCGCAACGAGCGCAACCCUUAUCCUUUGUUGCCAGCGGUCCGGCCGGGAACUCAAAGGAGACUGCCAGUGAUAAACUGGAGGAAGGUGGGGAUGACGUCAAGUCAUCAUGGCCCUUACGAGUAGGGCUACACACGUGCUACAAUGGCGCAUACAAAGAGAAGCGACCUCGCGAGAGCAAGCGGACCUCAUAAAGUGCGUCGUAGUCCGGAUUGGAGUCUGCAACUCGACUCCAUGAAGUCGGAAUCGCUAGUAAUCGUAGAUCAGAAUGCUACGGUGAAUACGUUCCCGGGCCUUGUACACACCGCCCGUCACACCAUGGGAGUGGGUUGCAAAAGAAGUAGGUAGCUUAACCUUCGGGAGGGCGCUUACCACUUUGUGAUUCAUGACUGGGGUG